UACAUGCAUAUAUGUAGGUUAAAGAAAGGC
rnacentral:piRNA from 1 species